AGUGAACGCUGGCGGCAGGCCUAACACAUGCAAGUCGAGCGGCAGCGGGUCCUUCGGGAUGCCGGCGAGCGGCGGACGGGUGGGGAAUACAUCGGAAUCUGCCCUGUCGUGGGGGAUAACCUAGGGAAACUUAGGCUAAUACCGCAUACGACCUACGGGCGAAAGCGGGGGAUCGCAAGACCUUGGGCCACAGGAUGAGCCGAUGUCCGAUUAGCUAGUUGGCGGGGUAAAGGCCCACCAAGGCGACGAUCGGUAGCUGGUCUGAGAGGAUGAUCAGCCACACUGGAACUGAGACACGGCCCAGACUCCUACGGGAGGCAGCAGUGGGGAAUAUUGGACAAUGGGCGCAAGCCUGAUCCAGCCAUGCCGCGUGGGUGAAGAAGGCCUUCGGGUUGUAAAGCCCUUUUGUCCGGGAAGAAAACGUGUAGGCUAAUACCCCGCGCGGAUGACGGUACCGAAAGAAUAAGCACCGGCUAACUUCGUG
rnacentral:rRNA from 1 species